rnacentral:rRNA from 1 species
UACGUAGGGUGCAAGCGUUGUCCGGAAUUAUUGGGCGUAAAGGGCUCGUAGGCGGUUUGUCGCGUCGGGAGUGAAACUCAGGGCUUAACCCUGAGCCUGCUUCCGAUACGGGCAGACUAGAGGUAUGCAGGGGAGAACGGAAUUCCUGGUGUAGCGGUGAAAUGCGCAGAUAUCAGGAGGAACACCGGUGGCGAAGGCGGCGAUCUGGGUCGAUACUGACGCUGAGGUGCGAAAGCGUGGGGAGCAAACAGG